UACGGAGGAUGCGAGCGUUAUCCGGAUUUAUUGGGUUUAAAGGGUGCGUAGGCGGGCUUUUAAGUCAGCGGUAAAAAUUCGGGGCUCAACCCCGUCCGGCCGUUGAAACUGGGGGCCUUGAGUGGGCGAGAAGAAGGCGGAAUGCGUGGUGUAGCGGUGAAAUGCAUAGAUAUCACGCAGAACCCCGAUUGCGAAGGCAGCCUUCCGGCGCCCUACUGACGCUGAGGCGCGAAAGUGCGGGGAUCGAACAGG
rnacentral:rRNA from 1 species